UCAACUUUCUUUCGCGGAUGAGUCCAAAAUCUCGCGCGUAAAAUUCCUUUCUAUCUUUCUCUCUCUGCAGACGUUGUGAACCAUCGCCGCCAUUAUUUUUCUUCUGUUGUCGCUAUAAGAGUUCCUCCACCAUGGUAGAUGAUUCUUCUUUCUCCACUGUUGUAUAUAUUCACUUUUGGUGGCCUCACAAAAACCCUAGUAUUGGGAUUUUGCUUUGCAAUUUUGCUUUGUGAAUGGGUUUCAUUGCUUCACAUAGGGUUAAACCUACCCAUCCCAUUCCUUCUUUUAUUUCGGUUGUAUUUCAUUAAAUUACCUUAGUCAUUGGAAGAUGUAGCGGCAAUAGACUCCUUGAAGUUCUAAGUUGGUGAUUUGAAACAACAAAAUAAGAAAAUUUCAAGCUUGGACCUUGGUGCUGAGAUAUUGCAAGCAAGUGGUGGUUUAAGAAACUUGCAAUCCAUUGCACUAGGAUUGAUUUUGCUGAGCUGAUUUUGCUUACCCCUCCUUGACCAAUCCUUAUGAAUACUAUUGCUAGGAGAAGGCUUAGAUUUUGAAACGUGUCAUUUAUUAGGAAAGUGUUCCUCAAUGAUUGAGCUUACUUUCAUGACAUCAUCAUCAAUUACAGAAACUGAAUAAAACACGGGAGCAAAGAUAGUUCAAAUUCAAUCUCUUGAAGUGGAUGUUGACAAUAGUAUACAUCAAAAUAGCAAAAUAGAAGUGGAGGGUUUGUUGUGUAUAUCUGAAUUAGUUGUUUUAUUAGGUGGUUUUGGAAGUAUAGGUAAUCUUUGUAAUGGAGCUAUACUAAUAUUAGCCUCAUUAGAAGGACUUGUGCUUGAAGCUGUUCCUGAAGAACAUGCAGCUGGUUGGUUUUGGUGUUUCCCUUGGAUAAUGCAUGCAUCUUGAUGUUCUAUGAAACUUUCCACCUUGAUCAAAGGAUAAAUGUUUAGGAUAUUAUACUAGAUUAUAUGAUUAGAUCAUUAUGAUUAUAUAUAUGUAAAUGCAUGUUAAGGCUUCAUCUUAAAAAAAUGAAUUGGUCAAGCAAAGAUAUGUUUUUUUUUUAAUGUCAAUGACUUAUUGAGAAAUUAAAGUAGUGAUUAAUAAAACAAGACAAAGUGAUCAAAUCUAAUAGGGUCUCCACUAGCUAGUACACAAAAGAUAAAUUAAUUUAAGUUUUUCCUCUUGUAUAUGGUUUCGUUGGAACUUGCUUGAUUAAUUUAUUAUAUUGUUUGCUAAGCCUGCAAAAUGAAGGGACUGUGUGUAUGUAUUUAUUCAAACAAAUAGUGUUGUGCAUCUCGCAUCUCUUAGAAGUGUGGCUAAUAUAUUAUUAUACAGCUCACAAUGAAUUAUUCAUAUAUAUCUUUGGAAUUCUGACCCAAUAUUUUUUAUUUUUUUUUUUAUUUUUCAUGUUUCUAACUUUUGUCAAAAAUCAAUUGAAUUGUAUCAAACUAGUCCUACCUCACCCUCAUCCCUCAUUGUUCAGGUUCUCUCCUUAAUUCCCGAUUUAUUGAAGGAUAAGCUCACUUCCUUGUGUAACUUGAAAUCACUUAAAGUACAAUUAAAACCACUUUCAUAUGGAUUAUCCAUGACACUGAGAACUGCCAAGUUUCAAAAAGAAUUUAAAGCAGGAUCAGAACCAUUUCACCCACACCCAAUGGCAUAGUGGACUUUUUGAUUCAAAACUCACCGUCGGCAGAAGUCGACAUCAUAGAUUGCUCAAGCCAGAAUAUGUACAAUUAGUUGUUUGGUGCAAGUAUUCAAAUGUUUUCCUUUUAGUCAUAUUUGAUGGCUCCAAACCGUGCAUAUUAAAAUCUUAAGGUUGCCAAUGAAGUUUGGAAAUCAUAGAGACUUUUCUUUUGUGGAGUAUGUUACUCAGCAGGAGGCAAAAAAUGCUCUUACAACACUUUCGAGCACCCAUUUAUAUGGCAGAUAUUUGGUGAUAGAGAGAGCGGAAAAAGGUGGUGUUUGGACGAACUGCGGGCUCGAAUUACUGCUCAAUUUAAUCAACAUACGUGAUUUCAAGAUGCUACUAAUUGCUCCAAGAAAAGGAAUGCCAUCAAUAUCUUAGAUGAAGGGAAAAUGAAGUUUGAAAGGUUUGGUGUUUAGUGCUCUGCUAAAGAUUUUAACGUUUGUGUAUUUGUUCCAAAGUUCAAGGAUAACAAUUUUGUAUGUUGUAGUAAGUUGUUUAAUUUAUUCUUGCUUGGUGUCCUUACAUUUAUUACUAUCUAUUUAAUUCCAUGUUCAAAAGAUGUAGCAAAAGGAUGAUAUGAUCAUAGUUAUUUUGGGAUCGGCUUACUGGAUGCUUAAAAUCACAAUUGUAUGGAUAUGAUCAUGGUCAUAACUAUUUUGAGACUUUUUUUAA